rnacentral:piRNA from 1 species
UAGAUACAUUUCAGAUCAUUA